AGGGAGAGUUGGUAGGUGGUGGGGGCUCUGCUUCUUGUGGAAGGGUUCUGGAUUUGUGAAUUGUUUCUUUCUCAAAGUGAAACCUUGUGCAGCUGGUAGCUGUAGAACCAAAUAACUCAAGAACCAAGUAACAAUAAUAAACUAAAAUGUAUGAGAAAAUGCAGAUGAUAAAGUAGCCAUCUCCCACUGGAAACUUAUCCUCUUUUGAAGCUGCUGCUGCUCAUGGGUCUCACUGGUCUGCUCUUCUUUCUGAAGAAAGAACACGGCUUCCACAGUCUGUUUGCAGAGGACAGCAGCUGUUAGCUCAAAGGUCACCCUAGCAAGCUGCAGGCCAUGCCAGCAGACACCUUUCCUGACUCUAAGUGCCCCAUUUGCUUGGACAGAUUUGACAGUGCUGUAUAUCUGAUUCUUGCUGGCACAGGUUCUGCUUCAAAUGUAUCCAAGAAUGGUCCAAAUUCAAAGCAGAAUGCCCACUCUGUGAACAGUCCUUCUUUUCUCUUUGUUAUACAGUUCAUGCUGAAGAUGAUAUAUCUAGGCCUUCAGAAAAUGAGUCUUUUUCCAACUCUGAUCACAGCACCAUCAGUUUUGCUGAAAGCCCUUUUGACUUAGAGGCAUGGGAUCAGCAUGCAUGAUAAAGGAAGCAGCUCAGACUCAACAAUUCUUGCAGUCUUUCCAGAUGAGACAAAUUCUCAAGAGCUAGAGCAUGGUUCAUCUGAGCAUAGGGUUGAUCAGUUCCCCUGGAAUGAUGAAACUCCAGGUUCUUUGUAUUCCCCUUCAGAAGAGCAUGGUGCAACCAUAAUUUAUUCUUCAGAGUUAGAGAGCUCUUAUGAGGACACUGCUUGGGAGAGACUCAAACUGCAGUUUCAGUUACAGUCCAGUGUUGACUCCAGUGACAGCAACUCUUCAUCAGAGUAUCAUGAUAUUGCUGGCUACGUUAACCUCUAUGCUGAGAAGACACCAGAACUCAGUGAGCUGUCCUCAGUCUCUGAGGACUCUGUCAGGCAGAAGAAGAGGGAAAGUGUGAAGAAAGAGCAGUCAAUCCAGGAUAGCAGAUAGAGUGACAGAGAACCGAGUAGAGUUUCAUCACCCCACUCCUCCCUGUACAAGGACCAUGUGAGUAGUUGUCAAAGCACCUUACUCUCUGUAGUGAAGAGGAAGUGUCAAUGGAUGAACAGAAGAACAAAGAUAAAAUAAAAGAUCAUUCUCCACAGGACUCAGACUCGAGCCUGUCUCCAGGGAUGGACAGUGUGUGCUCUCCUUGUAGCCAGAGACUGUUCAGAAAAAGAAAGACCAGAGUCCAUAGAACAGUGAGGGCAGUCAUGGCCAUUGGCCUUGGAGGAAGCAUCACAGUGAACACCAGUUUAAAAAGAGACUAUCAAAAAGCAGGAAUGG
ensembl:lncRNA